rnacentral:rRNA from 1 species
AGAGUUUGAUCAUGGCUCAGGACGAACGCUGGCGGCGUGCUUAACACAUGCAAGUCGAACGGAAAGGCUCCUUUGGGGGUACUCGAGUGGCGAACGGGUGAGUAACACGUGGGUGAUCUGCUGCACUUCGGGAUAAGCUUGGGAAACUGGGUCUAAUACCGGAUAGGACUACAAAGCGCAUGUUUUGUGGUGGAAAGCCA